GGGGAUUUAGCUCAGUGGUAGAGUGCUUGCCUAGCAAGCGCAAGGCCCCAGGUUCAGUCCCCA
rfam:Rattus norvegicus chromosome 19, whole genome shotgun sequence.